UACAGAGGUCCCGAGCGUUGUUCGGAUUCACUGGGCGUAAAGGGUGCGUAGGUGGCGAGGUAAGUCGGGUGUGAAAUCUUGGAGCUUAACUCCGAAACUGCAUUCGAUACUGCCGUGCUUGAGGACUGGAGAGGAGACUGGAAUUUACGGUGUAGCGGUGAAAUGCGUAGAUAUCGUAAGGAAGACCAGUGGCGAAGGCGGGUCUCUGGACAGUUCCUGACGCUGAGGCACGAAGGCCAGGGGAGCAAACGGG
rnacentral:rRNA from 1 species